rnacentral:lncRNA from 1 species
GCCCACAGAUGCUUCAUGCUACUUCAGCCCCCGAAGCUCACUCUUCUUCACUCACAACCAGAGGGUAAAGACACUGGAAACGUUAGAAGAGACUAUGGGAUGUACUUACCCAGAGAUGGCGCAGCUCCUGUAUCGCCUUUCUCCCCUGGAGGAAUACAGCAUACUAGCCUUGUCCCAGAGCUGGAAUCCUGCCACAUCCUCUCCUGUACCCCUCCCAGCUUCCAGCCUCUCCCCUAGUCUGUGAGCCCCCAACAUUCUGAUAUGCAUAAUGAUCCGGGGAGACUUUGGGGACCCCUGAAGUAGUGCUUCUGGGAACACCCACCUUUCUUUGUAUUCAAGACUCCCCUUAAGCCAACAAGACCCUAAUCCCAUAUUGCUCCAUGUGGAGCUGUCCUUCCUGGUCCCUUCCUAAGGAGACUUGUUUACUAGGCUCACCUUUAACUCCCGGGGGCCCCAUGGUUCCUGGCUCUCCUGUAGACAGAAGGGGCAUUCUUACAGUGCUGGUUCUUUUUCACUUCAGUGUGUGUGUGUGUGUGUGUGUGUGUGUGUGUGUGUAUCCACCUAUGUGUCCAUCCAUGCGAGCAGAACUUGUAGGAGAGAGAUCUGAAUGCCCAGCCUGUAGGAAGGGGGCAGGCAUGCAUCUGGACAUAGGGGAGGAUGGUGUGUGGGCUCAGGUGCUACUGGCACCACUCUCAAGACCUGUCUGGAUCUUAGGCAGAUAGACCCAUGUGAGAAUUCCCUCUUACCUUUGCUGCCGGCAGGUCCCAUCUUUCCUGGGCUGCCCUGAAAGCCCCGUUCUCCUGUAAACACAAGGACUAAACUGGAUCUCAUCUCCUAGGGCUUCCAGGCUCCCCUUUGGGCCCAGGUGGGCCAGGAAAGCCAGGGCAACUUUGGAUGACAACCACCUUGUCCUGGGCCCCCAGACCUACGACCUUAACAUCUGCAUAGAAAAAAAAAAAAGAGGGGUGGCUUUGGAGCAGCAUUGAAAACCACAGCUCUCCGUACCCACUAGCAUUCAUGCAGCCUGUCUCUGGAUGUGUUUUCAGGCUGCCCUUCUAAAAUGUCCCAUCUCCUGCUGCCACAUGUGCAGGCAUAUGCAGGUAUGUGUGUGCCCACACUUCUGAGCAGACCCCUCUCACCUGGACAGGCACCUCUCUCCUGACCCAGGGCCUGGGAGGGACAGAGACAGAGCAGUCCUGAAAAGGCCCACAGCGUAGGCCACUGCAUUGCUCUGGGUACAGCAGCCACUCCUUGACUCCCUGGCUCUGGACGGAGGCUGAGGCACUGAUGAACGAAGUGAAGACCCUCACUGCCUGGAUUCCUCACGGCUCAGCUUUUUCUCCUGAGAAGGAGUGCAAGUUAAAACCAGGCACACUUCCUGUGUGUCACCAGAUGGCCAGCGCCACACCCAGCAGUUCCCUGUAGCACAUGAGUACAGUACUCACACACUCAGCACACUUUCCCAGUCAGCACUGGGGAUUCGGGGCAUGAGGACACCACCUCCUUCUCUUCCUUCUCCACCUUCCUCUUCCUCCUCUACCUUCCUCUUCUGCUUCUCUCCAAAGAAUAGAUUCCCAAAGAACUAGCUCAGAAAGGCAAGGCUGGCCAAAGGCGCCUACUGAGCUCCCAGAGCCAAAUGCUGAACCUCUCAGCCUCCCAUCCAUGGAUAGCAGACAGAAGAAGCCUUCCUGAGAGAGUGUGAGGCACUGGCUGGGCCAUGAAAGAGCUGAGCCUGGCCCUCCAAGCCAGCAGAACCCUCGUUCUCA